rnacentral:rRNA from 1 species
CGGCAUGCUUAACACAUGCAAGUCGCACGGCGGGGGCAACUCCGGUCAGUGGCGGACGGGUGAGUAACGCGUAGGAAUCUAUCCUUUGGUGGGGGACAACCGUGGGAAACUACGGCUAAUACCGCAUGAUCCCUGAGGGGCAAAGGCGAGAGUCGCCUGAGGAGGAGCCUGCGUCUGAUUAGGUAGUUGGUGGGGUAAAGGCCUACCAAGCCUGCGAUCAGUAGCUGGUCUGAGAGGAUGAUCAGCCACACUGGGACUGAGACACGGCCCAGACUCCUACGGGAGGCAGCAGUGGGGAAUAUUGGACAAUGGGCGCAAGCCUGAUCCAGCAAUGCCGCGUGGAUGAAGAAGGUCUUCGGAUUGUAAAGUCCUUUUGGCGGGGACGUAUGAUGACGGUACCCGCAGAAUAAGCUCCGGCUAACUUCGUG